UACGUAGGUGGCGAGCGUUGUCCGGAAUUACUGGGCGUAAAGGGUGCGUAGGCGGAAAUUUAAGUCAGAUGUGAAAUCCCUGAGCUCAACUCGGGAAUGGCAUUUGAAACUGGGUUUCUAGAGUGCACGAGAGGAAGGCCGAAGUCCUAGUGUAGCGGUGAAAUGCGUAGAUAUUAGGAAGAACACCAGUGGCGAAGGCGGCUUUCUGGACUGUAACUGACGCUGAGUCCCGAAAGCGUGGGGAGCUACCAGG
rnacentral:rRNA from 1 species